AAAGCCUUAAUUUAAUUAAAGUGUUUGAGUUGCAUUCAAGUGAUGUAAGUGAUCUUACAGGCUUUA
rnacentral:tRNA from 1 species